UUCUAAAAUUUACUACUUUUUAAUCGUUUUGCAAACAACUAGCUUUUAAUCUGACUGAGUAAUGCGUUGUCUCAACUACAUGAUAUAAUUAAUCCCUCACACGAUUUUUAUUUUAUAAUCAGACGUGCCAAAGUCUAGAAAUUUUCCACAAUAAAGAAACAAGAUAUCUUUCGUACAAAAUUUAUAAAUAAAAUUCAAAGAUUCUGAGAUUUGGCUUUUGCUUUUGAAGAGGAAAUCUUCAACUCUCAAGUGGAUAUGAGAAUAAGAGAACUCUUGAGAAUAACUAUCAUAAAAAACUCAAGAAACUCUUAAAUAGAUAUGUACUUUUACAAAUUACAUCUCUUUUAUUUGUAAAUUAUAUCUAUGUAUACUUUGAUAUACAUCAUUUAUCACACAACAAGCGAUAAAAUUAUUAGCACUUGAUAAAAUAAAUCUACAGAAGAGUACUUCUAUUUCUAAAUUUCACAAUGAACUAAUAUAUAUACAAAGAGAGUACCAAUGGCACUAACUACAGAAAACAACCAAAAUAUGGGUGUUUCUGGCAUAAACAUAAAAAUUACAAAAAAUAUAAAUGGCACAACGGCAGAUACAAUAGACAGCACACGCAUAUCUACAGAACUUCCUAAAAUCUAUCUCUGCUGUGUACAUAGGUGCAGCUACACAAAAAGCUCCGACACUAAAGCCAAUAAUAAAUCUACCAAUAUAAAACAUAGUUACGGAAU